AUGCUUGAAGCAAACCAAUUUUCUGGUGCUGUUCCACCGGAGCUUGGGAAACUAAUUAACUUGGAGACAUUGUAAGACACCAAUUCUUUCAUUUUUAAUAUUAUUAUUAUUUUUACUUUCUCUUAAGAUAUCAUGUUUUCCUAUGAUUUUUUUCUGCAAUUUUAACACUGAAGGGUUCUGUCAUCGAAUCAAUUGACUGGGAACUUACCACUUACACUACUGGACUACAACAUUUGACUGACUUGUGAGCUUUGAUAUUUGACCUUCUUCUUAAUUAUAACCCAACUACUUAACUCAUAUAGUGCAUCUCAUGCAUACAAUUCAUUAUCACACUGCAGUAGAAUAAAUGAUAACAAUUUACUAGAACAAUACCUAGUUUCAUACAGAGCAGGCAACUUCUCCAAAGACUGUGAGAUUCUAAUUCUUUCUUUGUUAAAUGAUUUGACUAUGCAAUUUUUCUACUGGAUAAUUUUCAACCAAUUUUCAUGAUUCCAGAAUCAUGUAAUGUACACAAUUUUUAUAAUGAAACUAAAUAUUUGUUUUUAUGUUAAAUUAUUGACACAAUGAAUUAAACAGUUUGGCAUUGCUUCUGUUAGCUCCUAACACGUAGCAUGCGGCAAUAUACAGAAUUCAAUCCUGAAGGAUGGAAGUAGCAUGUAAGUUUCUUGUGGUUCAAAAUUCUUUAUCUAUAUUAAUUUUCUGCAAUGAAGGUUUUACUCUCAUAGAUUUGGAGUGUUUAGUAUAACUCGAUAGAUUUUUAGUUCACUGAGUAUGUGGUCACUGCAAAAUAGAACUGGCAUAAAAAA
rnacentral:lncRNA from 1 species